rnacentral:misc_RNA from 1 species
AAAGUCGUAACAAGGUUUCCGUAGGUGAACCUGCGGAAGGAUCAUUACCAAAUCCAAAUUCCAAACCCCAUGUGAAUUAUUGUAUAGUCUGUCUUUGGGAGAGUGAUGGAAACAGAUCUCUCCCAAUAGAGUCCGGCGCAACGUUAUAAUUGUGUCCAGAUUCGAAAAACCCUUUAAACCACUUGAUUUUUCUGUUGGAAUUUUUUCUUUUAAUUUUUAAAUAAAAAGACAACUUUUAACGGUGGAUCUCUUGGCUCGU